UAAUUUUGGGCGUUAUGAGGGUGCUAACCCUUCCUCGUGCGUAACUGACUCUCGAACCUAUUUUCUCAAAAUUCGUAGACCUAAAAUCGUUUUCAAGGUGAUCUAAUCACACCUCUUUAAAAGAUCGGUGGCGACUCCAAUUUUCGUUUUUAGGUCGACUACUAAACUUUUUUGUUUUCAAAAAAAGGUGGUUUCGACAAUACCCUAAAGGAAAAAAAAUUAUCCAUUGAUAGAUUUUAUUAAUGCAGGUUUAAGUAAUUUGCCUUCUUAUACCUGGCAAAAUGUGUGGGAUACCAAGGGUCUCCUACAGGUGGGCUUGUGCUGGCAGGUGAGUAUAAGGACUUCUAUCUCGAUAAUGGAAGAUGCUUGGGUACUGGGAAGUGUGGACUACAAAAUACAAGAUUUAAUUAGUCUAUAGGAUAUUAAGUUAGUAGCUGAUUUGAUAGAGCUUAUUAUUAAAAGAUGGAAAGUUGAUCUAAUUACCAAUACCUUUAGUUAAAGGGAUGUAGAAAGAAUUCUUCGUAUUCCAUUGGCACGAUGUCCAUACAAUGAACAUAGGGUAUGGAAAGGUAAAGCAUCAGGCGAGUACUCUGUUCGUAGUGGUUACAAGCUUCUAGUACAAUGACUCACAAAUCUUAAUGCUAGUUACAAUUAGAACACGAGAGAGAAUCUUUAUAAGAAAAUAUGGCUAUUGAAUCAACCACUAAAAAUAAAAAUUAUAACAUGGAGAAUAGCCUGUAAUUUUCUUCCUACAUUUAAUAAUCUACGUCACAAAAGGCUGAUUGGAACGACAGUUUGUACUAGAUGCAAAGAGGAAACAGAAACAACAAAACAUGUGAUGCAUGACUGUCAAAUUACAAAGGAGGUAGAAACAACAGAACAUGUGUUUCAAACUAUUGCAGACAUGGGAAAUAGAGAAUGAAUUGCCUACAUUUUUAACAGAAUUUGAAAAAUCAGUGUAGAGUAUUUGUAUGUGCUCUAAGGGCAAUUUGGAUGGACAUAAAAAAAUGGGUGCACGAAAGUGAGAAAAAAGAUGGAUUAGUCACUGAAAACUUUAUUAAGAAUUAUCUUAAGGAGUUGGAUAAUCUAAGCAAUAAGUUACCGGAGAAGAGGGAGGUGAUUGAGUAAUGGAAGACACCGGAAAACCCAUGCGUUAAGUUAAAUUUUGAUGUUGCAUAUAGAAAUCAAGAAAAGAGGUCAUGUUCUAGUAUUGUUAUUAGGGAUUCAAGAGGAUAUGUGAUAGACUCGAAAAUAGUGAUUAACGAAAACAUACUUUUGGCGUUUGCGACUAAAGCGCUGGCUUGCAUCCAAGCAAUGUUGAUGGAUUUGAAUCUAGGUAUAAGGGUGAUGGAGGUCGAAGAGGAUUUACUGACUGUGUAAAGAAGGCUCAGAUGGAUGAGGAAGAUAGAUCUGAAAUCUCGGCCUACAUAAAGGAUGCAAAAAGUUUAAAUAAAGAAUUUCAUACAACUGAAGGGAUAAAAAAGGAUGGAACAAACUUAUCUAAUGAAUGAAGUGCCCAGCUUUGCUAACGCGGUGGUGUAAAUUGACCAACGAUGACAGAGACUCCGG
rnacentral:lncRNA from 1 species